CCUACGGGAGGCAGCAGUGAGGAAUAUUGGUCAAUGGGCGCGAGCCUGAACCAGCCAAGUAGCGUGAAGGAUGACUGCCCUACGGGGUGUAAACUUCUUUUAUAAAGGAAUAAAGUGAGGCACGUGUGCCUGUUUGUAUGUACUUUAUGAAUAAGGAGCGGCUAACUCCGUGACAGCAGCAGCGGUAAUACGGAGGAUCCGAGCGUUAUCCGGAUUUAUUGGGUUUAAAGGGAGCGUAGAGGGGUUGUUAAGUCAGUUGUGAAAGUUUGCGGCUCAACCGUAAAAUUGCAAUUGAUACUGGCAGCCUUGCGUACCGUUGAGCUAGGCUGACUUCGUGGUGUAGCGGU
rnacentral:rRNA from 1 species